rnacentral:rRNA from 1 species
AUGUUCACCAAGGGACAAUAUAUUUUAGAAGGGAUCCCCGUCCUGCACAAGGUCCUUCAUGAGGUCAAAAGGAAACGCCUACGCGCAAUUUUCGUUAAGAUUGAUUUUCAUAAGGCAUAUGAUACAGUCCACUGGUCCUUCCUUCGGGAGGUGAUGUCGACGCGGGGCUUUGACUCCCAUUGGAUUGCGUGUGUUAUGCAGCUAGUGUCGAGCGGGCGCAUGGUGAUCAAUAUCAAUGGGGAGGUUGGCCCCUAUUUCCACACGGAUCAAGGGGUGCGACAGGUAGAUUCCUUGUCACCCUUCUUAUUCAACCUUGUUGCCGAUGCCAUGGCGGCUAUGUUGGACCUAGCAAAAAGGGCCAGCCAUAUUAGCGGCAUCUGCCUGCACUGCUGCACCUCAUUGGAGAAGGGGGACUUACCCACCUUCAAUACGUGGAUGACGCAAUCCUAA